rnacentral:rRNA from 1 species
UACGUAGGGGGCAAGCGUUGUCCGGAAUCAUUGGGCGUAAAGAGCGUGUAGGCGGCCUGGUAAGUCCGCUGUGAAAGUCCAGGGCUCAACCCUGGAAUGCCGGUGGAAACUGUCAGGCUCGAGUCCGGAAGAGGCGAGUGGAAUUCCCGGUGUAGCGGUGAAAUGUGUAGAGAUCGGGAGGAACACCGGUGGCGAAGGCGGGUCUCUGGACCGAGACUGACGCUGAGGCGCGAAAGCGUGGGGAGCAAACAGG